rnacentral:rRNA from 1 species
GGGGAAUAUUGCGCAAUGGCCGAAAGGCUGACGCAGCGACGCCGCGUGUGGGAGGAAGCCCUUCGGGGUGUAAACCCCUGUCAGAAGGGAAGAAACUCGGGCUUUCGAACAGGGAGCACGAUUGACGGUACCUUCAGAGGAAGCGCCGGCUAACUCCGUGCCAGCAGCCGCGGUAAGACGGAGGGCGCAAGCGUUGUUCGGAAUUACUGGGCGUAAAGCGCGCGCAGGCGGUCUAUUAAGUCCCUUGUGAAAUUCCGGGGCUCAACCCCGGAGAUGCGUGGGAUACUGGUAGACUGGAGACCGGUAGAGGCUAGCGGAAUUCCUGGUGUAGCGGUGGAAUGCGUAGAUAUCAGGAGGAACACCGGUGGCGAAGGCGGCUAGCUGGGCCGGUUCUGACGCUGAGGCGCGAAAGCGUGGGGAGCAA